CUUGCUCUUUAUAUUCUUUUUUGUGGAGAGUGAGAGAUAGAUAGUGAAAGGAGAGAGAAUCAGAGAUCAAUAGCGAAAGAAAGUUGCGCAGUGCAAUGUUUUAGCUUUAUUCUUAUAUUUUCAACAAAAUAUUUCCCAAUUAAUCCACACCACUUAUUUAGUUUUUUUAGUUUGAAUGAAUUGUUUGAAAAAUGAAUUUUUUGUCAAGUUUUUCUUCUACAAGUUCUUUUUAACAAUUUUAACUAUAAUAAUCUAAAAAAUUGUAAAAUACAUACCUCAAAAUACCCAAAAGUGCACAAAAAAAUUUCCCUUCUUUCCUUUCCUCUUCUUCCUCUCCCCACUUCAACCAAUCACCACCUCUGCCACCAGCCAACACUGUCUGGCACCUAUGUCGGCACCGGCCACCUCUUUUUUUUUUCCUUUCUUUCUCUUCCUUCGUCCUCCCCUUCCCUCUCUUCCACCACC
rnacentral:lncRNA from 1 species